CUCCUUUAAGGAAAAACCACAUUCAACACACAAUUUUGCCUUCAGUUCCAAAUUAAAUCCCUUCUAAACAUCUCUCUAUUACAUCUACCCUUUCAUUUCAAUCUGAAUCCAGCCGUUUUAUGUAUCUAUGAAAGCUCUCCAAACACGACUAAACCCUCGCCACAAUCCACCGCAAAAACAUGUCGUCAGCAGAUUCGUCUUUCUCAAUUCCCGUCUUCCUUUAUUGCUGAUCUUCAUCAUGAUUUAUGUCUCGGCUUCAUACAUCUCCCUCGACAGUCUCCAUCUGGAUUGAUUCAACGUAUUGGAUUGCAUAUAUGUUGGCUUACGAAACUUCUGAAUCUUCUAAAGAAAAAGCUGAGAGUUUCAUUGAAGGGAAAUAAAAAGGACGCCACUGAAUUCUUGGAGGAGAUGAAUGAGAAAGAAGCUACAUAGAUGAAAGAAAUCAUGGGUCUAAAGGGGAAUGGAGUUCUAUGUGUCUACCCUCGGGAAAAGAACAUCAAAAACAUGCUGUCCAUCUCAAAAGAGAAGAAGAAAGAGCACCAACGAGUU